rnacentral:pre_miRNA from 1 species
AAAAGUGCUUAUAGUGCAGGUAGUGUGUUGGCAUCUACUGCAGUGUUGGCACUUCCGU